ACCCGCUGAACUUAAGCAUAUCAAUAAGCGGAGGAAAAGAAACCAACAGGGAUUGCCCUAGUAACGGCGAGUGAAGCGGCAACAGCUCAAAUUUGAAAUCUGCCUUCGGGCCGAGUUGUAAUUUGUAGAGGAAGCUUUUGGUGAGGCACCUUCUGAGUCCCCUGGAACGGGGCGCCAUAGAGGGUGAGAGCCCCGUAUAGUCGGAUGCCGAUCCAAUGUAAAGCUCCUUCGACGAGUCGAGUAGUUUGGGAAUGCUGCUCAAAAUGGGAGGUAAAUGUCUUCUAAAGCUAAAUACCGGCCAGAGACCGAUAGCGCACAAGUAGAGUGAUCGAAAGAUGAAAAGCACCUUGAAAAGGGGGUUAAAUAGCACGUGAAAUUGUUGAAAGGGAAGCGUUUGUGACCAGACUUGCGCCGCCCCGAUCAUCCGGUGUUCUCACCGGUGCACUCGGGGCGGCGCAGGCCAGCAUCGGUUUCGGCGGGGGGAUAAAGGCCCGGGGAACGUAGCUGCUCCGGCAGUGUUAUAUCCCCGGGCGUAAUGCCCUCGCCGGGACCGAGGUUCGCGCAUCUGCAAGGAUGCUGGCGUAAUGGUCACCAACGACCCGUCUUGAAACACGG
rnacentral:rRNA from 1 species